rnacentral:rRNA from 1 species
GAUGAACGCUGGCGGCGUGCCUAAUACAUGCAAGUCGAGCGAACAGACGAGGAGCUUGCUCCUCUGACGUUAGCGGCGGACGGGUGAGUAACACGUGGAUAACCUACCUAUAAGACUGGGAUAACUUCGGGAAACCGGAGCUAAUACCGGAUAAUAUAUUGAACCGCAUGGUUCAAUAGUGAAAGACGGUUUUGCUGUCACUUAUAGAUGGAUCCGCGCCGCAUUAGCUAGUUGGUAAGGUAACGGCUUACCAAGGCAACGAUGCGUAGCCGACCUGAGAGGGUGAUCGGCCACAUGGGAACUGGGACACGGUCCAGACUCCUACGGGAGGCAGCAGUAGGGAAUCUUCCGCAAUGGGCGAAAGCCUGACGGAGCAACGCCGCGUGAGUGAUGAAGGUCUUCGGAUCGUAAAGCUCUGUUAUGGGUGAAGAACAAAUGUGUAAGUAACUGUGCACGUCUUGACGGUACCUAAUCAGAAAGCCCCGGCUAACUACGUG